rnacentral:rRNA from 1 species
AUUGAACGCUGGCGGCAGGCCUAACACAUGCAAGUCGAACGAGUGGCGGACGGGUGAGUAAUGUCUGGGAAACUGCCUGAUGGAGGGGGAUAACUACUGGAAACGGUAGCUAAUACCGCAUACCAUCAGAUGUGCCCAGAUGGGAUUAGCUAGUUGGUGGGGUAACGGCUCACCAAGGCGACGAUCCCUAGCUGGUCUGAGAGGAUGACCAGCAACUCUGGAACUGUGAAGAGUUCCAGGCUCCGCAGGGAGGCAGCAGUGGGGGAUAUGGGACAAUGGGCGAUGGACUGAUGCAGCGACGGCGCGUGGGGGAUGAAGGUUUUCGGGUUGUAAACCUCUGUCGCUAGCGAACGGGUAGGUGGAGAAGAAGCGCCGGCUAACUACGUGCCAGCAGCCGCGGUAAUAC